AAAUAUUAAUUGAGCAUCUAUUAUAUGUAGCCACUGUGAUGGGCACUGUGAUGCAACUGAACAGAUGGACAAAGGCCCUUCCUUCUUAGAGCUUUAAGUCUGCAUGGUAGAGGGAAAAUGAUCUGGUACCAAUGAAUUAAGAAGAUAAUUCCAGAUGGUGACAAAUAUCCCCCAGAGGUUACUGACAGACCAAAAUAUCCUGACAACCCCGGAAUGCCAGAAGGAGAGAAGGGGUUUGUAAAUCUGAGGACCUUGACUACUUUUAUAUCCCCAAUCUCAUCUUAAAUCUGAAUUGAACCUGUCAUAUUAUAGCCUGGCUCUUCUCUCACCAACUAUUUGGGGAACCCAGCCAACAUACUGUGAUGAAGCCUAAACAACUGUGGAGAGGCUCACGUGGAGAGGAGUCAAUGCCCACUGAUCUAUAAGCCUUGGCUGAGCUCUGAGCCAACAGUCAUGAUCAACUUCCAGCCGUAUAAGUGAACCAUCUUGAAAGAGGCUUCACCAGCACCAAGUUGAGCAACUUGAUUAUGUUACCAAAGAUCACCUCCUUCCUAUCAUCUUCCGUCUGAGACUUGCUUAGAGUGAGUUUGGAAGCUGUGUUUUGCUCAUCCUGAAGACUGAACAUAAGAAAAUAUUGCUCAAGUUCUGGAUGAUGCAGCUGCUGAAAUAAUCUGUGGUGCACUUUCCUUCAGGAAUCCUUACCUAUUUUUUCAGGUGUUCCACAAGCCUUCUUAUCUUGGAAUUCAGUAAUACUUAUUGUGUGGUUGCUUACUGUUCCCUAGGCACCCUGAAGCAUUGAAGCUUUGAAGCUUUGUCUCAUGCUUUCAAGUAAUGUUCUCGUGUUUACCUGCUGAUAUUCCUUCAAAGUUAGAGGCUGCCUCUCUCCAAGUGUGGAAAAAAACAAUCAGAUGUCACUAAGAUAUUGUGUAACAAUUCAUAUUAAACACAUGAUCUUGUCAGUCAAGAAGAAGAGAUUAAAACAAACACCUUGAGAGUUCAUGAGUAGAAGUAUACAGCCCUGCAUUCAUGAUAAUAUGGUGCAUUUUACCUACCUUGCAGCAGAAAGAGAUAUCUAAUUCCAUACACAGCAAUGUAACUGUUUAAAGUGCUCCUAAAAUUCAGACAAAACAAAUUAUAAAUAGUAUCAAGAUCAAAGAAGCUGAAAGUCCCUAUGUUUGAUGUAGGCACAGCAAAGUUUGAUGUAUAUGCUCAUUUCUCAGCACUGCAAGUAUGGAGAAACCAUCAGAAAGCAUGCUGAAAAUAGAGAGGGCUUCUAAAACAGAAAGCUCCUGCCUGUUUUACUGAAGGCUACCAGAUUCUUUCUCAGAAAUUUUGUACAGUUCAGAGGCACAAAUGCUCUUUUAGGUCCUUUGAAGCACUGGGUUUAAUAUCGGAAUUUAAUCUUGGCUCUAGUCUCCAAUUCCUUACAUAGUCAUUCAAGCAAUCUUGGGGACCAAGUCUUCCAAUAGCAUAGUGAUAUUCAUGCCUGAAGUGGGAGGAAUAGAUAUCCUCCUCAUUAACAAGGGAUGAGAGAUCAUGUUUCAUAGGCAAAAUACUCAUGCAUGCAAAAAUGUAACUUUUCCAGUAAUUUUUUUAGUACUGAAAUUAGCUUAGCUCAUUAGCUCUCUCUUCUACCUAGUAGCAGGGAAUGCAGUUUUGCUAACCCAGGUGACUCAUUAUUUCUGUUUUCAAGUUUAGUUUAUUUUAGGUAAAUUUUUGAAUUCAUAAUGUUUUUCUGACCUUUCU
rnacentral:lncRNA from 1 species